rnacentral:lncRNA from 1 species
AAAUUUCUGAGUUUUUGAGGGUAAAUAAGCGAUUGAAAAUAUGCCAGUUUUCGGCCUCCUAUUCUGGCCACUUCCGUCGACUUUUUGGGGUAGGUCCAAGAACAAAAGUAGCUCCACUCUAUGUGGUGAUCAUGUAGGUAUAAGUCUUAAUGGGCGGUUUGGAGAUUUUUUGAUCGUCGAAAUCGAUUGGCCACCCACGUGCUGCCAGCUCGUGUGGCGGCCCGUGGGCCACUUUCGGCCUGUCCUUGAGUCCUAAAAUCACUCUCAUGUUGUGCUAAGCAUGAUGGUAUACUCAUAUAUGAAUUUGGAUAUCGUUUGAUUGUCGAUCGAAUUCGAAUCUAUCAAACCCGGAUAUCGCAUAUUAGGCGAUAUCCGGGUUUGAUAGAUUCGGACCAUUGGAUCAUUUUGAUUUUCAAAUAUGUUGAUCUAGGCACUUCUAGAAUCGUAUAGAGAUUAGCGGAUCAAGAAUCGGAGUCCCGGAUACCCCGAAAUCACGAAUCCUAGGGCAAGAUAAAUUGUAGUCUGAUCGUGCGAUCAUGAUCAAUCCGACCGUUCGAUUUGAACCAAACUUGCAGGGUAGUUUCAGAAGAGUGCGUUGAACCUAUAGGGACUCCCGGAAUUGUGAUCGGAGGUCGUGGGCCCUGCGAGCCCGGUUAACCAAGUUUAGGUGGUUUGACCCCUCAGUUGACCGUGAGUCUUCCGAGGUAGUUGUAUCCUUUGAGAAGUGUUUAAAUGACCACGUAAAUGAGUCCUGACCGAGAAUGAGUUAUUUGGGUCAUAUUACAGAUUGAGUAUAGAUAGUUACUUAUAAAUUGCUAAUGUGCCGAGUAGCUGAAAAUGAUGAAUCAUGGCCCUUGGUUUUUAUCAGAUUGUGGCAUAUAUAUAUUUUAAGUAUAGUUGAGAAUCAAUUUAUCAAAAAGUUGAUAUAAAGGUUGGAAAAUGGAUUGUGAAAUAAAGGGAAAGUAUUGAUAUAAGUUUGGGAUAUGGCUUUUCAAACCCACCACAAGGGUACCCCUUAGUUGCUUUGAAUCAAUGUCAUUUAUAAAUAAUGCCCCAUGUGUUUCGAGGAUGCCUGAACCGUGUGGUGCGAGGAAUGUGGCUCAAGCUGACCAAUGGUCCCUUGAGGCCUGCGAGGAUUGCGGUUCGGAUAGAUUUCGUAUCUCCGAGGCCUGCGAGGAUUGCUGCUCGGAUAGAUUUGGUAUCUCCAAGGCCUACGAGAAUUGAGGCUCCGAUAGGCUUGGUAUCUCCGAGGCCUGCAAGAAUUGCAGCUCAGAUAGACUUAGUAUCUCUGAGGCCUGCGAGGAUUGCGAUUCAUACAGAUUUGGUAUCUCUGAGGCCUACGAGGAUUGCAGCUUGGAUAGACUUGGUAUCUCUGAGGCCUGUGAGGAUUGCGGCUUGAGUAGACUUGGUGUCUCCGACGCCUGCACGGAUGGAAUUGACGGAUCAGGAAUGGGGAUACGCCUAGGUGAAGAGAAUUUCAGUUUUGAGAUGUUCUUAAACUAAAAUAAAGGGAGUUCAGUGUAUGGCUUAUCUAUAGUCAGUAUAUGACUGUUAUGGGUAUUGGGAAGUUGCAAAGUAUUGUUUUAGAGUUGUGAAUAUGAUUGAGUACAUCACACACAUGAGAAUUCAGUUUGAUUUUGAAAACACAUGGCAAUAUGAUGAGAUAUUCAAUUGCACUAUUAAAGGGAAAAAACUACGUGUAGCUUGACCCCUCAGUAAGGGUACGUAGACAGCCUAAUGUUAUAAGGUUAAUGUUAUAAGGUGCAUUCACGAGUUGGAGUGUUUGAGAUUGUUAAUGUACUAUUGAUGUUCUGAAAGUUGAGAUAAAUUUUAUUAGCAGGAUAAUUUAUUUUAUUUAUUGAGGCCUGAGGCCAGAGUGAUAUGAUGCUUGAUUUUCUUGGAUAUAAUUUAAUGCAUGCUAGCAGUUGGGUUAUAUAUAAACAUAUAUGCUUAUUUUACAGGUGGAAAUUUUUGCAAAAUAUUCAAUUUACAGGGGAGACUUUGUUGAAUUUUCGGCAAAAGUCACACUUGAAUUUCAUUGAAUUUUGGUUAGAAGGGCAAUUUGGUCAAUUGUGUCCAGCAACCGCCAGGUGUCAGACACGCAUAGGGUUUGACUCAGAUUUCAAAGUGGAAUUUGGGUCGGGUCCUGUCAGUCUGUACCUGCAAGUUGCAAACAAAUACACACAAGUGCAUCUGGUUAAAAAUAAUAUGUGGCACAAGGGCUCAUUGCCUAUAUAAUCACAGAUUCUAUUCUGUAGGCCAUGUUUGGUAUGCUUCACUAUGCCUCACUGGACUGGAUUGGAUUAAACAAUACUUGAAACCCAUGUUUGGUAAGGGAGGGGAUUAUCUUAAAUGAGAUUAUAUAGUCCAAUAGUUAAAAAAAGCCCGGACUCACACAGCUAAUAUAGUGAGCCCAAAAUUGGGUUCGCAAAAUAGGACGCUCGCUAUUUUGAACACGCGAGUCCGACUUCCUUAUCGCUUGAAUCAAAACCCCACCACAGAUCCAAUCAAUGAAACCCAACGCUCAUCGCUCUACCCUGGAUUUCUUCUCAGAACGAUCUCUCUUUGCACCCCAACAACUAGCAGAACCCAAAACCAUCUCUUUUCGCCAUCUGAGUCCAAUUCGUAGUAGUUCCAAAGAAAAAAAGAAAAGCAAAAAAUAAUGAAACCAGAAACAGAGAGAAGAAAGAAGGAAAAAGGAAGAAAAGAAAAGAAGAAAAAAAUAUGGGUCUGUGUAAUUAUGAUACUGCUCCUAUUUGGGUAGCUUCCUUACUUACUGAUGAUGUUUUGGGGAUGUCUAGAAUCCGCUUGAUUUGUGUUGAGUCGGCUUAGAUCGUUUUCAUUCGAACGCACCAUCCAUUGAGCGCAGACAAUGAAGACGGCAAUGCUGGAAAAAAUGGAGCCAUCUUGCUGUUGUUGCCAAAUUGCUCAUCUUGGAUUACAGGUUUUCAUGCGCUGCUUGGUGGAGACCACAAAAAAAUGAGGACGGGCUGGGAAGAGAACAGGAGAACAGGAAGAAAGGAAAGGGAAAAAAAAAAAAAGAAAAAGGACGGGCUGGGAAGGAAAGGUAGAAGAAAAGGAGAAAAAAGGAAAAAAUGAAGAAAGGAUAAGAUAGUUUGGCUUUUAAAAAAUAUUAAAAUUUAUUUGUUUUAUUAUUAUUUAUUUUAAGGUCAUCCUUAAUUAAAAGUAAAUAUUAGAAUUUUAUUUAUUUAUAAUUAAAAUUAAUUAUUAAAAUAAUUAUUUUUUACUCCGACACAACUCCAAACAUAGGUCUUCACUAUUUUCACAAUCCAGCUUCUUAGUCCGACGCAGCACCAAACAUAGGUCAGUACUUAAUCCAGCUUAGUCCAGUCCGAGCUAAUCCAAAACAGUCCCAGGAUUUAGUCCAGUCCAUGACAGUCCGCCGUACCAAACGACCCCUAUAAGAAAUAAAAGGACACAAUUAUAUAGUUUAGCUUUCUUUGAAAAACUUGGAAAUAACUUUACCUUGGCCAUUGUUAUAGGUUCUAGGUUUGCUAGUUUUGACUUUCCUUAACAAAUUUUAUGACCAACUUGAGAGUGGGGGUAAGGUGGAACCAGCGGCGGAUCCAGGAAUUUUUCAACGGAGGUGCAAUAUUUAAAAGCUAAGAGCUCAACGCAGCGCAGCGACAGAUUCUCAGCCCAAGUCGUUUGGGCAUUUCGUCGAACAGGUGGUGUGCAUCUCGUUUCUGAAGCAGAGGUGCAAUUCCAGCUCUUGUAAUGGAUUUCUCUGGCGACCGGAGGUGCAGGUGCACCUCCUUGAGCCUGCACAGGUCCGCCACUGGGUGGAACCUCAUACAUCAGUCAAUAGAGCAAGGCAAGUCACUUUGAGUUUCACGGGACAAUAUGAGAUUUGACCAUAAUUUUAGGAGGCGUUAGAGCAAUUAAGCCUUUCUCUAAAUCCCUUCGAAGCUCAAAUUUAAAGUCUAGGUUUAGACAUUCAUCUCAAGGUUGGCCAAGCUGGAUCUCAUGAUCUCCGAAGGUAAAGCAUGCAUAUGUGCGUUGCAUUCAUUUUCAAUCCUACCAGUUUUCACUCUUAGUUGACUAGUUCAUGCAUUGUACUAUAUUCUGCCUAAAAAUUUGUAGUUUUUAUACUCAGAUGACUAGUGGCAUUCUCACUAGUCAACUACACUAUUUUUAUUUGUACAUGUUUUGAAGUUUCAAUUUUUACACUCACAUGAGCUUGUCUCCUUUUCUAGUUGUGGUCGUUACGUAACAUUUUGUCAAAUUCUAAUAUGAAAACCGUUGGGGCUGAUCUGGAUUCACUAACUCUCUUUAUUUGCAUCUUUUUCAUCAGGGUUUUAGAGAGAGAGAGAGAGAGAGAGAGAGAGAGUUCUAGAUAAAAUGUAUUUUCAUUGAAAAUUUGUUUUACAAAUUUAUGUGGAUUCAAAUCUAUGUUUUAGAUUGCAUAUCAUCCAUAGGAUUAGAUUUGUAAUCGGUGUCUUCAAGAUGGUUUGAUUUUAUUUGUUUCUCAAAUCUAUGUUUGCUAUAGUUCAUUUGGAUUUUUUUGGAAGUGUUGUUGAGAAGCUAGUGCCAUAAAAAUGAUGAGUUAGAUGAUGGUGAGCUGCCAUGAUUAUGAAGAUUAGUAGUUGCCGUGAUACUAUGAUUCAAAUGAAGAUUGCACAAGGUGUUGGUGGUGCCAUAGAGGUGAAGAGCUCAAGGUUGAGCUAGCUGCCAUCCACAAGAAGACUUUAUGGGUUCCUUGAAGAUGAAGAGCUAGAGAAUCUAGUUGUCAUCCACAAUAAGACCCGAUGGGGCCUUGGAGAUGACGAGCUCAAGGUUGAGCUAGCUGCCAUCUACAAGAAGACUUCAUGGGUGCCUUGAAGAUGAAGAGCUAGAGGAGCUAGUUGUCAUCUACAAUAAGACUCGAUGGAGCCUUGGAGAUGAAGAGCCCAAGGGUGAGGAGCUGCCAUUUUCAUGAAGACUGGUAUUAUGGUUCAAAGGUAUAGCUCCUUCCUAAUAUGGGUACAUGAAAUCUGAGCUUGAUUGGAUCUUCUUUGUAAGAAUCUUUUUUACACACUAUGGAUUGUCUGGUGAGACUGAUGACCCCGAGUGUUUACCCAGUGGCAAGCUUUUAGGUUAUCAUGGUUUGGUGUUGAUUCUUGCUGGGUGUCUAUUCUGGAUCUGUGAUUUGAUAAGUAGCCUUCAUAUAUUUUAUCAUCGAGAGUUACAUUUACAUUGAGAGAAAAUUCUAAGCUAAAGGAGAAAAAAAACAGAGAGUUUGAGAGGAGACCAGGCAACCCCUUGCCGAAGUGUUAAAAAGCUAUUGGAAUUGCAAAAAAGUAAGGUCAAACACUUCAAAGUAUUGAUGAGCAAAUUAUAUAUAUGGCGUUGGCGGGUGAAAUUGGAUUAAUGAAUUAAGAUGUUAAGGGUUUGUUUAGAAGUAAUUCUGGAUAGGCCAAUAAUCACUUCUAUGGAGAAUUAUUUUUCCAUUACUUUAAACGGUUUUAAGUAAAUUUAUGGAAAAUCACAUGGGAAGUGUUUUUUUCCAGAAUCACUUCAAAUCACUAAAAGUGAUUAUAUAUGAAGAAGAUGAGAUGUGCUUCUCCCCAAAAAUGAUUUUUGCCUAUCUAAAAUCACUCUCAAACAAGAUCACAUAUGGAACAAUAAUUUUCUAGUCAUGUUCCAC